rnacentral:rRNA from 1 species
ACGAACGCUGGCGGCAUGCCUAACACAUGCAAGUCGAACGCGACCUUCGGGUCUAGUGGCGCACGGGUGCGUAACGCGUGGGAACCUGCCCUUAGGUUCGGAAUAACUCCCCGAAAGGGGUGCUAAUACCGGAUAAUGUCUUCGGACCAAAGAUUUAUCGCCUUUGGAUGGGCCCGCGUUGGAUUAGCUAGUUGGUAGGGUAAAAGCCUACCAAGGCGACGAUCCAUAGCUGGUCUGAGAGGAUGAUCAGCCACACUGGGACUGAGACACGGCCCAGACUCCUACGGGAGGCAGCAGUGGGGAAUAUUGGACAAUGGGCGAAAGCCUGAUCCAGCAAUGCCGCGUGAGUGAUGAAGGCCUUAGGGUUGUAAAGCUCUUUUACCCGGGAUGAUAAUGACAGUACCGGGAGAAUAAGCUCCGGCUAACUCCGU